GCUUUCGACGCGGGAGGACGACGAGGGAAGUUGGGCCCACGAGGAGAGACUGCCCUGCCUCCCCGUCCAUCUUCUAUCUCCUGAGACACCCCAGUGCGGAGCUCUGAGCGAGUCCCAAGCCCUCAGGAGCAGGAGGCCCUGCAGUUCUAAUCCCAUCCUGGCUCCACCUCCCACCUUCCGCGUUCACUGGGUCAAGACCUAAACCUCUUGGCGUCUGUUUCUUCGCUGUGACGUUAAUUCAGCCAACAGCCAACGUUUACUGAUUUCUUGCCACUCAGAAUACCCACUCUGACCGUGAAGUUGCACUUUCUGCUUUGCUUAGAAGAUCACUUCCGGCCACCUGGUUUUUGAGCCUCUCUAGAUCUCUAGUGCACUGGCCUCUUUAUUUUCCCCCGUCUGACAGCCCAACCCAGUCUCCACUUCCCUCUGUGAUGUGCCCAAACUCUUGGCAAGUCAUCAGCAGCUCCGCCUGCCUGCGUCCCCGAAGCCUGCUCCCCACCCCACCAACCGAAUGCUGCUGGAGAAGCCCCUAAUAGUUACCCUGGCGUUGGGAAGAGCCAGCCGCUGCCUCGCCAACCCCGCUGGUGAACCCGCUGAUGCCCAGGCCACCCGCCUGCGUCUUGAUCGCCGACUUGAGCUCAUGAUUCUCCUGAAUAAGCCGCACCAGCUUCUUCAGUUCCUCGUUUUCCCGCACCAGCCUCUCGAUCUGAUGCCGAAGCCCCUCAUAAUUGAGCUAUCUACAGAGAGAACUUUUUGGACCUGACCUUGGGAGUCAAGGGAGGCUGUGUCCUUGUGACCUCCACUGGUUCUGCAGGCAUCCGCUCUCAAACAGGAGAUAUAAGUCAGAGGGCACACCUGGGUCAGAGGACAUCUAAGGCUAAGGGCUGAGGUCAGUGCCUGCGCGUGGCGCUCCAUACUGGUCGUGAUGACUUCUGAGACUGAAGUCUUCAUCUGCCUUCAUCUACGGGGCUCACGGGGAGCUGCCUUAAAGAGGUGCAGGGGCCCUACAGUCUCAAGACCCACGGACACACACUAGGUUGUCCUGAGGAGGUCACCAAGCCAAGUGCCACUUCUACAAACUGGCUUCAGGUCUUUUUCAAGGUA